UCUGCAAAUUGAAAGUUGAGAAGAAACCAAACUGAAUGAUUGGGAAUCAGAUAAUUGCAAAGGAUUUCGAUUCUGGUAGUAGAAUUUGUUUGGAAAGAAUUGCAGGCACCUUGGCUUGACUGGAAACCCAUAUCCCUUGACCAAGAACACGGGCACCUUGGCUUGACUGGAAGAGAAAUUGGGUAUGGCUUUGAUCUGAGAAGUCUGAGAGAAAUGUUGAUGAUGUUGAUGGUGUUGCAGGUCUGUGGUGUUGAUGGAGUCUGGGUCUUCAUGUUUCUUGUAAACUAGAAGUCUGGAACUUCUAACAAUUCGUUGGCAUGCUUGUAUAAUUGAAAGCAUGCAGAUACUUGAGAUGGUCAUUUAACUUAUCUGUUUAUUGUGGUUGGGUGCUUGCGCGUUACUCCCAUGUGCCCAGAUUAGCUUUCUUCUGCAGAAGUAAUCGUUAAGAACAA